rnacentral:rRNA from 1 species
UAAUACGGGGGGGGCAAGCGUUGUUCGGAAUUACUGGGCGUAAAGGGCGCGUAGGCGGGCAGGAUAGUCUCUCGUGAAAUCCCACGGCUCAACCGUGGAAUUGCGGGAGAUACUACUUGUCUUGAGUUCGGGAGAGGAGUGUGGAAUUCCCAGUGUAGCGGUGAAAUGCGUAGAUAUUGGGAGGAACACCGGUGGCGAAGGCGGCACUCUGGACCGAUACUGACGCUGAGGCGCGAAAGCUAGGGGAGCAAACGGGAUUAGAUACCCUGGUAGUCCUAGCUGUAAACGCUGAGCACUUGGUGUAGCGGGUAUCGACCCCUGCUGUGCCGAAGCUAACGCAUUAAGUGCUCCGCCUGGGGAGUACGGUCGCAAGGCUG